ensembl:misc_RNA 7SK 7SK RNA
GGAUGUGAGGGCGAUCUGGCUGCGACAUCUGUCACCCCAUUGAUUGCCAGGGUUGAUUCGGCUGAUCUGGCUGGCUAGGCGGGUGUCCCCUUCCUCCCUCACCGCGUCCCUCCCGAAGCUGCGCGCUCUGUCGAAGAGGACGGCCUUCCCCGAAUAGAGACGGACCGGUCUUCGGUCGAGGGUAUACGAGUAGCUGCGCUCCCCUGCUAGAACCUCCAAACAAGCUCUCAAGGAAGAGAGAAAGAACCAAACAUCACUCUGGUACAUAUACUGCUGGGGAUCAAACUCAGGACUUCAUGGUUGAGAAGCUAAUGCUUUAUGCACUGCGCC